GGCGGGUCUCCCCGCAUUGCAGGAUGGUGAAUCUGGUCAGGUUCGGAAGAAAGCAGCCACAGCUAUCUCAUGCAAGUGC
rnacentral:SRP_RNA from 1 species